CCAAAGGCCCUUUUCAGGGCCACCCACGAAGUCAUGGGAAGAGCUG
rfam:Oryctolagus cuniculus chromosome 12, whole genome shotgun sequence.